CCUACGGGGGGCAGCAGUGGGGAAUAUUGCACAAUGGGGGAAACCCUGAUGCAGCGACGCCGCGUGAGUGAAGAAGUAUUUCGGUAUGUAAAGCUCUAUCAGCAGGGAAGAAAAUGACGGUACCUGAGUAAGAAGCCCCGGCUAACUACGUGCCAGCAGCCGCGGUAAUACGUAGGGGGCAAGCGUUAUCCGGAUUUACUGGGUGUAAAGGGAGCGUAGACGGCAGUGCAAGUCUGAAGUGAAAGGCGGGGGCUCAACCCCCGGAGUGCUCUUGAAACUGUACGGCUGGAGUGCAGGAGAGGUAAGUGGAAUUCCUAGUGUAGCGGUGAAAUGCGUAGAUAUUAGGAGGAACACCAGUGGCGAAGGCGGCUUACUGGACUGUAACUGACGUUGAGGCUCGAAAGCGUGGGGAGCAAACAGGAUUAGAUACCCUUGUAGUC
rnacentral:rRNA from 1 species